CCCUGAGCUAGGAGAUAAUCUUGGGAAACUGAAGCUAAUACCCUAUAGGUUUUUGUAACUGGAAUGUGCAAAAACUCAAAGCUCAGACGGCUCAGGAUAGGACUACGGCUUAUCAGGCUGUUGUUGGGGUAAUGACCCAGCAAACCGAUAACGAGUACGGGCUAUGGAAGUAGCAGCCCGGAGAUGGAUUCUGAGACAUUAAUCCAGGUACUACGGUACGCAGCAGGCGCGCAAACUUUACAAUGCUCUCACGAGCGAUAAGGGAACUUGGAGUGUUCUUGCUUUUUGCAAGAACUUUUGUUAACUGAAAACGGGUUAGCGAAUAAGGGGUGGGUAAGACGGGUGCCAGCCGCCGCGGUAAUACCCGCGCCCCGAGUGAUAGCCACGAUUAUUGGGUCUAAAGCGUCCGUAGCCGGUUUAACAAGUCCCUGGUGAAAUCUUACGGCAAACCGUAAGGCCUGCUAGGGAUACUGUUGAACUUGAGACCGGGAAAAGGUAGGGGUACUCGUAGGGUAGGGGUAAAAUCCUAUAAUCCUACGGGGACCACCUGUGGCGAAGGCGCCUACCUGGAACGGGUCUGACGGUGAGGGACGAAAGCUUGGGGAGCAAUCGGGAUUAGAUACCCCGGUAGUCCAAGCUGUAAACAAUGCCCGCUUGGUGUU
rnacentral:rRNA from 1 species